rnacentral:misc_RNA from 1 species
GAUGAAGAACGUAGUGAAAUGCGAUAAGUAAUGUGAAUUGCAGAAUUCAGUGAAUCAUCGAAUCUUUGAACGCACAUUGCGCCCGUCAGUAUUCUGGCGGGCAUGCCUGUUCGAGCGUCAUUACGCCCCUCAAGUCCCCUGUGGACUUGGUGUUGGGGAUCGGCGAGGAUGGUUUUCCAGCACAGCCGUCCCUUAAAUUAAUUGGCGGUCUCGCCGUGGCCCUCCUCUGCGCAGUAGUAAAACACUCGCAACAGGAGCCCGGCGCGGUCCACUGCCGUAAAACCCCCCAACUUUUUAUAGUUGACCUCGAAUCAGGUAGGACUACCCGCUGAACUUAAGCAUAUCAAUAAGCGGAGGA